GCCAGACUCCUACGGGAGGCAGCAGUGGGGAAUAUUGCACAAUGGGGGAAACCCUGAUGCAGCGACGCCGCGUGAGCGAAGAAGUAUUUCGGUAUGUAAAGCUCUAUCAGCAGGGACGAAAAAAAUGACGGUACCUGAGUAAGAAGCACCGGCUAAAUACGUGCCAGCAGCCGCGGUAAUACGUAUGGUGCAAGCGUUAUCCGGAUUUACUGGGUGUAAAGGGAGCGUAGGCGGCGCGUUAAGUCUGAUGUGAAAACCCGAGGCUCAACCACGGGAGUGCAUUGGAAACUGGCGGGCUGGAGUGCCGGAGAGGUAAGCGGAAUUCCUAGUGUAGCGGUGAAAUGCGUAGAUAUUAGGAGGAACACCAGUGGCGAAGGCGGCUUACUGGACGGCAACUGACGCUGAGGCUCGAAAGCGUGGGGAGCAAACAGGAUUAGAUACCCCGGUAA
rnacentral:rRNA from 1 species